rnacentral:misc_RNA from 1 species
AAAUAUAAGCUGAGCUAAAAAUAAAUCACUUAUCAUCAAUGUGCUAUUUAUUCAGUGUAUAUAUUGAGUAUAAUCGGCUAUUUAUUCAGCUGUAAUUGUAAAUUUCAUUUUAUGUAAUAAUAAAACAUGAAAUUACCAUUUUCUGUUCCCAUUUACAUAAUUAAAAUUAUAAAUAAUAUAAAUAAAUUACAUUUAAUAAAAUACCAGUAUUAUAUAUUUAUUUACUAAUCUGCACUAGAGACAGAUUGGAGCCUAGACCGCUCGAGCACCCUUAGUAUCUACUACAAGAGCUAGAUCGUCUCUUAAAGUUAAGAAAAAUAAAAGUAUAUUAAGGAAGAAAAUUUAAAUCCGAGGCUGAAAUUAUAGAAUAUAAAAUGCAUGAUUUAUGUUCAAAAAUUCUAAAAAAAAAUCUGCAACAUUCUAACAUAAAUCAAGCAUUUCCCAAAAUUCCAAUAGCUCAACAAGCUCUAAACAAUUUACAACACAUCACAAAUAAAUUUAAAAUGUCCAUCUAUGGCCUACACAAAAUAAUAUAAUAAAUUUCACAUUUUCUCUAUUUAUUUCUCCUCAUCCAUUUAACAUACUUUUCUUCUCCUUUAGUCUUUCAUCCUAAAAUUCCUUCCCUUUAUUACAUCAAAAUUCUUGCUUGUUUAAAUACAAUUAAUCUCCAUUAAUAGCUCCAAAAUAACCACAUAAUACUUUAAAUACUUCAUUGUCCACCUAGCAAUUAAAACAUAAAAACUUAAAUACACCUCUCCAUAUAGAAACACCAACUUUUAAUUCAUCCUAUUAAAGAGCACCUACUUAAUAGCUAGAAAUUUCACAGCUUUAUUAACUUAUAUAGAUCUAUAUUUCAAAAUAAAAUUCAUCUUCCUAUUAUUCUUAUGCCAUAAGAAUUACCAUAGAAAAAUAGAAUACCAAAUUGAAAUUGAGUAAUUAAGAAGAAAAGAAGGAAAGAUUUACUCACUUGAAAGAAAUUAUUAGCUGUUGUGAGUGGAAGAUGGUUUUAAGUUAGGGUUUUUGUUGAAAAUGGGUGUUUAAUUAAAGUUUGAGUGGGUUUAUGGUUGAUUAUGUAAAAAGGAUGUGAACAGAGGAAGGAAGAUGGAACUUGGGGUGUUGAGUGCUCUCUUUGUUUCUGCUCACAAAAAGGAACAGGAAUAAAUUUC